UUCCUGGUGGCUCAGAUGGUAAAGAAUCUGCUUGCAAUGCAGGAGACUCAGGUUCAAUCCCUGGAUCGGAAA
rnacentral:tRNA from 1 species